GAUGAACGCUGGCGGCGUGCCUAAUACAUGCAAGUCGAACGUGAGCCUGAUUUCGGUUAGGUGAAAGUGGCGAACGGGUGAGUAACACAUGGCUGACCUGCCCUUCAGAGGGGGAUAACCACUGGAAACGGUGGCUAAGACCGCAUACGCUCGCUCGGGUUAGAGGCCGGGUGAGGAAAGCUGAGGCGCUGAAGGAGGGGGCUGUGACCCAUCAGCUAGUUGGUGAGGUAAGAGCUCACCAAGGCGAGGACGGGUAGGGGGCCUGAGAGGGUGACCCCCCACACUGGCACUGAGAGACGGGCCAGACACCUACGGGAGGCUG
rnacentral:rRNA from 1 species